rnacentral:rRNA from 1 species
GACGAACGCUGGCGGCGUGCUUAACACAUGCAAGUCGAACGGAAAGGCCCUGCUUUUGUGGGGUGCUCGAGUGGCGAACGGGUGAGUAACACGUGAGUAACCUGCCCUUGACUUUGGGAUAACUUCAGGAAACUGGGGCUAAUACCGGAUAGGAGCUCCUGCUCCAUGGUGGGGGUUGGAAAGUUUCGGCGGUUGGGGAUGGACUCGCGGCUUAUCAGCUUGUUGGUGGGGUAGUGGCUUACCAAGGCUUUGACGGGUAGCCGGCAUGAGAGGGUGACCGGCCACAUUGGUACUGAGAGACGGCCCAGACUCCUACGGGAGGCAGCAGGCGGGAAUAUUGCACAGUGGGCGGAAGCCUGAUGCAGCAGCGCCGCGUGCGGGAUGACGGCCUUCGGGUUGUAAACCGCUUUCGCCUGUGACGAAGCGUGAGUGACGGUAAUUGGUAAAGAAGCACCGGCUAACUACGUG